ensembl:lncRNA
CACUGAGCAGGAUAUUGGGGUUCUCUGCAGGGGUCUUCACUAAAAGAGGACUCUGGUCUAAGCCACAAGGUGUCUGGGAGGAGUAAUGAGCAGGCAGGUGUGGACAAACACUGCAGAAGAGCCUCCCCUGGGAAGGACAUAAUCCAGAACACAAAGCUCCCCAGAAAAGAAAGGCAGAAGGGGUCAAAGAAGUGAUGGUGGAAGACGAGGCCUGAGAGAUAGGAGGCAUGAAAAGGACUGGAUCCACUGUUUCUGGCUUUGAAGAUGGAGGCCUGGAGAAUUCUGUCUUCAGGACAGAGCUUCGAACAGGAACAGAAACUAUAGAAGAGGAGAAGGGAGGACAGAAAGGAAUAGGAUUGAGGAAGGGAUCGAACUCGGGACCUUGUGCUUACAAGGCAGACAGUGGAACCACUGAGCUAAAUCCCCGGCCCUGAGGGAUCAAACUUGGGACCCUGCGCUUGCAAGACAGACGUAGGAAACACUGAGCUAAAUCCUCGGCCCUCGGAGGUGAAUUUUGAAGGAACAAACCACAGGUGCCUUCUCUGUUGCUAGCACUUGUCUCCCAACUGCACACACCCUCUCUGGUUCUUGGUGCAAAUGAGUAAGUGGAAAGUCAUCUAAUGCUCUGCUACCGGGUGACAUGUUUUACCAAACACUCCUCUGUUGCUCACCAUAAUUAUCUGUAUUUACGUAUAAGCUGCAUUCUUCUCACCAUCUGUCUCAUUUGGAGGUGGCAGAUUUCCAAAUUCCCUCUCUUUUAUUCAUGUAUAACACAUGACUUAUUCACAGGUGGGAAAGUCAACAGGCUUCUGCCUCAGUCUCCUCAUCUCUAAAGUGGGAUAAUAUCAACCUCACAGAAUUGGCUAGAGGACUACAUGAAUAACAUUUGUAGUGCUUAGAGUGGCAGUGCAAAGUGUUGGCAAAUGCUGUUAUUCUCUCAUCUGAGUCAUCCUGGCCUACUUUCCUGAUUCGUGGAUAGGAAGGGAGAAAAAGGGGUCUGGGCAGGAAAUUCUAAAUUCCUCCGCCCAAUCUCAAUGCUUUCCUAGACAACUCACCCCCUCUCUGUACCUCAUUCCUGAGUAAAUUUCCUUUUCUAUCAUAUUUUCAUCCCAAGAAGUGCCAGGAAGAGUAAUCAGGACAAGAUGUGACUCUUAUGUUUUCUUCUAAUUCUAGACCAGUGGUUUUCAAAUUGUGGCCUGGCAUUCCCAAGAAGCCCAUAGGGCACCCUUCAGCUUGCUCUUAUCUGUUUAAAUUUCCUUUCAAGACUGAUAGACUUCUAAGACUGUAAAAUUUUAAAUCCCCACUCUGCUGAGUUUCAGCCUUCAGACUUUACAAUUAGUCCUAAUCUUCUUUUCCCUUCUGCCAAGAAAUUUUCUCUAUUCCAUUCAGAUAGUCUGUAUUCUUUUCCAUUUCUGAUGCAGCUGAAAGAGAUAUAUGAACAAGCAAAUCUUUGUGUACUUAUCUGGGGUGUCUUUCCCAGGCAUUCAGCCUGUUCAGUAGACAAUAUCUCAAUUUCUAGGCCCAAGGGGAAGGCAACUAUGGCACUGUUUAACAACUGAGACAUCUGAAGGCAAUUUUACUGGCACCUGAUCCACCUGCCGCAGUAUUUCCAACUCCUGGAAUAUUUCCAACCCCCAGAACCCAAAAGUUAC